CAUGCCAGUGCCAGUGCCAGUGCUAGUGCAAGACAAAUACCAAUGCUAGUGCAAACUUUCCCAGUGCCGAAUGCGAACUUCCGAACAAACCUGAACAAACAAGCAAAAAACCCAACUUUCGUAACGUCACUCGAGUGGUCACCAGUUUAAGCACUCAAGCAAUCGUCGUGGUAGGAACAACAGGCAAGCCAAACAAAGGGCUCAACAGUAGCUUCAAUCAACAAGCCUAACAAAGGGGCCUUCAAACAAAUCAUAACAGCCCAACAUAUCAUGGGCUCCAAACCCUUUUUUUCUACUUUUCUUCUUCUUUCCUAGGAUGGCAACGCAAAAACAAAGUUUUGAUGCAAACAUAUGCGGGUACGAAGAUGCAGAUUCAAAGGGUGCGGGUGGGGGGGCUUAUGCACACUACAACGA
rnacentral:lncRNA from 1 species